ACGCUCGACACCUACGGGAGCAGCAGUUAGGAAUAUUGGGCAAUGGAGGAAACUCUGACCCAGCAACGCCGCGUGAAGGAAGAAGGUUUUCGGAUUGUAAACUUCUGAUCUAGGGGAAGAAGGAAGUGACGGUACCCUAGGAGAAAGCCACGGCUAACUACGUGCCAGUAGCCGCGGUAAUCUGAGCGGGCUGGCAAGGC
rnacentral:rRNA from 1 species